rnacentral:lncRNA from 1 species
UUGUACUGGUGGGUAACAACAGUAUUAUGUACCUUGUAUCAUCCCAUCCUUUGAACCUUGGAGCAGGUAUCUGCAGAUACUUCUUGUUCUGGUAACAUGAACCUUCUUGUGUUAACAUUCUCAAGGUGCUGGUUACCUUAAAUGGUCCAUUGUUUUUCAGAUAUUGUGAUGCAUUCAGCAGCUAAGUUUAUAACUCGCCAUUGUGAUUUGAUGGAGGGGUGUACUUGUGGUCACAGGAGGAAAGAUUUUUCUUCUUAUGUUCAUGACUUGAUUUACGCUUGUCAUAUGCUUUCUCAUCAUCCGUAGUGCCCUUGAGUUGCUUUCAUGGCCAAAACUAUUAGAUUACCCUGAUUGAAUAAAAAGAAGAAAAAGAAAAAUUGUCUCAAGUACUAAGUGUCUGUUGCAUAAUUAUUAAUUUACCUCAAUGUAACACUAGAAAUUUCUAAAUAAUAGUAGUUUGGAGUGCAAAACUCAUGUUUUACUUAGAAACAUAUUUGGGUACAUGCUAAUAUUAUUCUGAAACAUACAAAUCAAUUUCUUUUGUUGCACUAUGAAUAGUUGUCUAGCUCUCAAUUUGCUGAAGAUCCAUUUUGCUUACCGCAGCUGUGAGAGUGACUUGAUUGUCAAUUUUUUGUUGUUGCACCAUGAACAGUGGUCUAGCUCGCAAGAGGUUGGUUGACAUAAGCAUGGAGUCAUUACUCCUCUCUCAUAGCACUUGGUUACUCUGCAUGAGUUAUCUGGUGGUGGUCAGUGGACACAAUCUUGGUCCCGAAGCUGUGAUAAUUGUAUUCAUUCUGUAGGUUUGUUGAAUCCAUUAUCUUCCAAAGGUUUAAUAAUCACGCUAGACCUGAAAACUUCCUUCCAGGUAUGCAGUUGUGAUCUCAUGAUGAGUUGGAAAUCCUAGUCGUCUUGGAACUUCCAGUAAGACUUGUCUUGCUGUGAUGAAUCACAAGACAAGUUUGAAUGUGCAAAUUGAGACUUCCUUGAGAACAUAGGUGUAUGAGAAGGAUAAGCAGACAGAACUGAUAAAGUUUGAUGCGGCAAUUGGAUUUGAACUCCGGAGAAGGGAUGUAACCAAUUUUACUUUUUUUUGGACUUCACUUUUACUCGACUAAACUGUUGGGAAAACUAUCAAAAUAGUCCUUAAUGGGGUUGGAUUAUUCUAGUCUUUCAUAUAUAUUAAUAUA